GAGAGAGACGAGGCAAGAACUGCUAAUUCAUGCUCCUAUGUCUAAACACAUAGCUUUCUCA
rnacentral:tRNA from 1 species